UACGAAGGGGGCUAGCGUUGCCCGGAAUCACUGGGCGUAAAGGGCGCGUAGGCGGCUUAUCACGUCGGGGGUGAAAGCCCGUGGCUCAACCACGGAAUGGCCUUCGAUACUGGUAGGCUUGAGACCGGAAGAGGACAGCGGAACUGCGAGUGUAGAGGUGAAAUUCGUAGAUAUUCGCAAGAACACCAGUGGCGAAGGCGGCUGUCUGGUCCGGUUCUGACGCUGAGGCACGAAAGCGUGGGUAGCAAACAGG
rnacentral:rRNA from 1 species